rnacentral:lncRNA from 1 species
GCACCUUGCCACCAGGCAGCCGAUAAUUAACUGUAUGAAUAGAAGUGCCACUCCCAUGCAUGUCUGUGUGAAAGUACUGCUCUUUAUCCUGGUGCCUGUGUAAAACCUGUUUACCAAUUGACGGUAACGGAAGUGUAACUUACACGGCCUGAGGUAUCUGUAACUAUGACCUACUGUCACUUCCUCAUUCAAAACACACACACACCUGUUUGCACUUUAGACACAUGGGCCAAGCACGUUUUUGCCUUUAACUCGACAACAACAUAGGACACGGAUAUUAACCAGCACUUUUACUCCUAUUCCCGCCCAGCCACUCACUGUCAUGACAGAAUGUCAAGUGAUUCCCGUUCGCACGCUGCUACCGGGGAUUCUUUAGAAAUUGAGGGAGGACGAUGGUGAGGAGAGAGAGAGGAGAGGUCAGGAAAGAGGGAGGGGAAGGGGGGAGAGACAAUACAGAGAGGCCCUCCUGCCCCUGGUUCUGGGGUAUUAUUAGCCUACUGACGCAGGUGCCUUCCCCACGUCACGUCUGUCCUGUCAGUCACACCAAGCCCAGGACUGACUGACUAGGAGAGGCUGUUACCAGGGAAAUCGUGACUAUGUUAACAAUAAGCUGCUCAGGUCAAUGAUACCCCGGGAUGAUGCCACUCUCUCCUCUUGUUGGCUCAACUUAACUAGUCUCAUCAGGGCCCCUCAUAUUCAUAAACUGUGAGAGGGAGACUGUUAGAGGGAGACUGGUAGAGGGAGGCUGAUAGAGGGAGGCUAGUCAGGGAGACUGUUAGAGGGAGACUGGUAGAGGGAGACUGGUAGAGGGAGGCUGGUAGAGGGAGACUGGUAGAGGGAGACUGGUAGAGGGAGACUAUUCAGGGAGACUGUUAGAGGGAGACUGAUAGAGGGAGACUGGUAGAGGGAGACUGGUAGAGGGAGACUGGUAAAGGGAGACUAGUCAGGGAGACUGUUAGAGGGAGACUGAUAGAGGGAGACUGGUAGAGGGAGACUGGUAGAGGGAGACUAGUCAGGGAGACUGUUAGAGGGAGACUAAUAGAGGGAGAUUAGUCAGGGAGACUAGUCAGGGAGACUGUUAGAGGGAGACUAAUAGAGGGAGAUUAGUCAGGGAGACUAGUCAGGGAGACUGUUAGAGGGUGACUGAUAGAGGGAGACUAGUCAGGGAGACAGAUAGAGAGAGACUGAUAGAGGGAGACUGUUAGAGGGAGACUGAGUAACAGGCUGACACCUUCCACAAACAAGCAAGCAUGCUCACACUGAGACAUUUCAUUAUAGCAGGGGUUAUCAAAGUGGAGUCCGUAGACAGGAGGGAGUCCGUAGACAGGAGGGAGUCCGUAGACAGUAGGGAGUCCGUAGACAGUAGGGAGUCCGUAGACAGUUGGGAGUCCGUAGACAGUAGGGAGUCCGUAGACAGGAGGGAGUCCGUAGACAGUAGGGAGUCCGUAGACAGUAGGGAGUCCGUAGACAGUAGGGAGUCCGUAGACAGGAGGGAGUCCGUAGACAGUAGGGAGUCCGUAGACAGUAGGGAGUCCGUAGACAGUAGGGAGUCCGUAGACAGUAGGGAGUCCGUAGACAGUAGGGAGUCCGUAGACAGGAGGGAGUCCGUAGACAGUAGGGAGUCCGUAGACAGGAGGGAGUCCGUAGACAGUAGGGAGUCCGUAGACAGUAGGGAGUCCGUAAACAGGAGGGAGUCCGUAGACAGUAGGGAGUCCGUGGACAGGAGGGAGUCCGUAGACAGGAGGGAGUCCGUAGACAGGAGGGAGUCAGUGGACAGGAAGGAGUCAGUGGACAGGAGGGAGUCAGUGGACAGGAGGGAGUCAGUGGACAGGAGGGAGUUCGUAGACAGGAGGGAGUCCGUAGACAGGAGGGAGUCCGUAGACAGGAGGGAGUCCGUGGACAGGAGGGAGUCCGUGGACAGGAGGGAGUCCGUGGACAGUAGGGAGUCCGUAGACAGGAGGGAGUCCGUAGACAGUAGGGAGUCCGUAGACAGGAGGGAGUCCGUAGACAGGAGGGAGUCCGUAGACAGUAGGGAGUCCGUAGACAGGAGGGAGUCAGUGGACAGCAGGUGUCUCACGGACAGCAGGUGUCUCACGGACAGCAGGUGUUCCACGGACAGCAGGUGUUCCACGGGCUGUGGAAUACUACUAACAACAACAGAUAAAAUUAUUUUUUUAAUAAGGUGCAAUACAAUGUAAUAUUAUUCAUCUAUUAAUUUAUGUUCUUAACCCUGAGAAACCUGGGCCUGGAGGCUUACUGGAGUAUUGGUAUCCAUAGAACUCCAACAAUUAUACAUUUUUCAACUCAAUACCUGUCACGACUUCCGCCGAAGUUGGCUCCUCUCCUUGUUCUGGCGGCGUUCGGCAGUCGACAUCACCGGCUUUCUAACCAUCGCCGCUCCAUUUUUCCAUUGUUCCAUUUGUUUUGUCUUGUU